GCAUGCCACUAAUUGUGGCAUGAAUGGAGCUACCAACUUAGUGGUGGGGUAUUACCACUAAAUGGCAAUAUCCUAACAUCAAUCAUCUAACCUCGGUCACAGAAUUCAGGAUCCACUUCUGCUCUAAGCUCCAAGCCAUGCUAAAAGAAGGCCUGCCAUCUUUCGAGUUCUGUCCCUUGCUGGCAAAAAGUUCGCAACGGGAGGUAGUGGAAGAAUGGCCCAGGGUUUCUCACAACACUAAGAUAGAGAUGAAUUUUGAAAGAUUAAAUGAAAGGCAAUCAUCCCUGAGCUUUUAUUUCAUUCAUCCAACACAAUAAGCAGGAUUUUCCUUUCUGUGUGCUAAUACUCCCGAGGCGUUCGUGCUCUAAAAUCAGUUCAUUUCCGAUUGCCAAUGACUAAGAGAACAGCAGACUACUGGGAUUGUUAUAACUUGGAGCUCUGUGUAGCCAACUUUUGCUUCUACCCUGAUAUAUUUUGAAUCCAGUUUUCAGUAUAUGUUGGAACCCCGAAAAUUUUGGUGGAAAAUAUUUUGUGUUGAAUGAGAUGAUAUUUUAGUGCAAUGAUUUGAAAUGCAUGCAAUAAUUUGUUACUA